GCGCCCAGCCCGCGCCCCUCGGCGGCCCCCGCGUGGGGCGGCCCACCCCCAACCCCUGUUCGCCAAGGCCACCCACUCGGGGUGGCCCGCCGACGGCUCCAGGGGGGAGCGAAUGAACGCAGCCCCCCACUACCACAAAUUAUGCUGUGGAGUUUCCCACAUUUGGGGAAAUCGCAGGGGUCAGCACAUGCAGAGUGCAAUGGAUAAGCAUCACCCUGGGAAAACCACUUUCGUGAUCCAUGUAUCUCCCCUGCCAGUUCAUAUGCCACAUAAAUCAAGACUCAGCGUCGUGUGAGGACUGAAAGCCGCCCCGUCAUGACGCCCAGAGUUCUUCGCUGUCUCAGAUGCUCUCUCGCUCAGAGCCCAGCAAGUCUCAGCAGGGAGGCGCCAGUGACCGAGUACGUUCAUGUGUUCUCACAGCAGGCCUGGCAUCUGUGCCAGGGGUUGGGGAAAAACGUGAUGUUGCCAUUUGGGCAGAACCUGUCUUUCUGACUAAGAAAUCUGGCAGCAGAUACGCCAGCAGGACCAAGUUCUGUAAUGUCGUCCCAGCUUGGCAGGCUCCUUGUGCCUUGGGGUUCCUGGACCAGAAUGUGAGGUGCUGGCCCUGGCUGGGUGGCUCAGUUAGUUGGAGCAUCCUCCCGCGAUGCCAAGGUUUUGGGUUCGAUCGCUGGUCAGGGAACAUACAAGAAUCAACCAAUGAGUGCAUAAAUAAGUGGAACAACAAGCUUCUCUUUCUCUCUAAAAUCAACAAAUAGCCCAGCCGGCGUGGCUCAGUGGUUGAGUGUUGACCCAAGAACCAAGAGGUCACUGGUUUGAUUUCAGGUCAGGACACAUGCCCAGGUUGCAGAUCCCCAGUGGAAGGCUUGUAGGAGGCAGCCCAUGAAACUCAUCGAAGUUUCUGUCUCUCUAUCCCUCUCCCUUCCUCUCUCUCUCUCAAAAUCAAUAAAAACAUAGAAGAAUAAAAUCAAUAAAAAUCAAAACAAGCCCUGACUGGUUUGGCUCAGGGGCCAGAGCGUCGGCCUGCGGACUCAAGGGUCCCAGGUUCGAUUCCGGUCAAGGGCAUGUACCUUGGUUGCAGACACAUCCCCAGUGGGAGGUGUGCAGGAGGCAGCUGAUCAAUGUUUCUCUCUCACCGAUGUUUCUAACUCUCUCUCCCUUUCCUCUCUGUAAAAUUCAAUAAAAUAUAUUUUUUUUAAAAAAUCAAAACAAAAACAACAAUGUGAGGUGCUGUGGGCUGGCACAGGUUUAGCAGCUGCUGAGGACAGA